AAAAAAACCAAGAAAGCCUCUCACCACUUUCCCCCUUUCUGGGCACCGGCCUAAACUCCGGUGAGGGAUCCGACCACCGGCCACCGCGUCGGCAACGGCGCCGUCGUAUGCGAUGGCUGAAAAAACCAAAAACCUCCGUUCCGACCCUUUUAACCUCUCAAACCCAGAUCUGAGUUCCAAAUCCCUUGAAUAUUAAUAAAAUACCUCAAAAGCCCAAGAAACAUUUCGGUUUCUGGCCACCUAUCAUCGGAGGCGACUUCCUCGGCCUUCUUCGACGUUGAAGACCCGAAUAUAGGUAAGUUAUUUCUUUUUCUCUUUUUUUUAAAAAAAAAACUGAUUCGUAAAAAAAAUAAAAGAAAUAAAAUGAAUAAAUCAGAGAAAAAAAAGAAGGCAACCUUUGUUUUCCUUUUUAUUUCCAAUCUGUAAAGAAAAUGACCAGAAGAAGCCUACAAUGUUAAUAUUUUGGCCUUUAUAGCCGAUUUGAAAAGCCCCUAAAUUUCUAUUUUGUCGUUUUGUUGUUUGGCCUGUUUUACUGUUGCGUGUGGUUUCGUUUUGCAGGUGUCAAACGCGUGGAGGUGGCUGGCAUACGGCGACAGUGUCAGAGGCGUGCGCUGGAGGUGGACUUAGGUGUGUCGCACCUAGGGUUUCUGCCUCUCAUUUUGCUAAAAAUGUUUUUAGUUUAUGGUCUGGUUAUUUGGGCUUAGGGUUUUUUAAUAUUGGGCCUAUUAAGGGUGCUUUGGGCUAUUUGGGUUUAAUUUGUUUUGGGUUAUUAUUUUUUUGUUUGUUUUUGCUUGGGCAAAAUUGGCCCAUAACAAUAUGUAUUUUCAAACUGCCACAAUAGCUACCAGGAAAUAAUUGAUAAGCGUAUCAGUUGGGUAAAUAAUUAUGAGACGAUGUCUUAUCCUGU
rnacentral:lncRNA from 1 species